rnacentral:rRNA from 1 species
UACGGAGGGAGCUAGCGUUGUUCGGAAUUACUGGGCGUAAAGCGCACGUAGGCGGCUUUGUAAGUUAGAGGUGAAAGCCCGGGGCUCAACUCCGGAACUGCCUUUAAGACUGCAUCGCUUGAAUCAUGGAGAGGUUAGUGGAAUUCCGAGUGUAGAGGUGAAAUUCGUAGAUAUUCGGAAGAACACCAGUGGCGAAGGCGACUAACUGGACAUGUAUUGACGCUGAGGUGCGAAAGCGUGGGGAGCAAACAGG